CAACAUUAUUCUGGGGCCUGGUUGACAUGAGUCAUGACUUCAAUGCGAUGCCCUACGACGUCACAAUGACGCCAUAAAGUUUAGCCAAUAAAUGUUAAAAUCUUUAAUUUAUACAGCUUACAGAUUUCAGCCAAUUCUGCUCUCAUAUGGGUAAAGAUAAUAAAAUACACCAUUCAUAUAUAAUUCUUCAAGGUCACAGGUCAUAGGUCAAACAUCAGGGUCAGUCAAAUUAGGAAAAGCUUUAGUUUCCAUUUCUUUUCCAUCUCCAAACUGUUAUCUGUUUUGUUUUCUGUUAUGUCAAUUUUCAUUGUAACAGUCAAACAACAAGGCUGCCAGUAUGACUUAUAAAAACCUGCAGCCAUUUUUUAAAAAUGUGCUUCAUUGUGCAGAAAGUGAUCCAGCUACAAUCUACUCAGAAGUGAGAACCACUUAUCAACAGAUGGGCUUCAGAGCAAACAGACCCACAGAUUUUCUGGAGCCAGAGGUCAUUUACUCCAACCUGAAGUAAUCAACCAGUCCAACCAGUGGAGCCCAGCUGCUCUUCUCGUGUCGUUCUCUGGGUUUCAUGAAGAUGUCUGAUGGAAAAUUUGAUUUGCCGUGGCUAACUGAAAAACAUCUGUCUUCAGUUCAGACAGGAAACAAACAAAUUAACUGAAACCACAGACUAUAAACAGCAUGAGCAUCGCUAUAUUGUGUGGGUUACUCCGAAACCAAGCAGCAAUUUACACAUCAGCUUUUUCAGAAACUUAACAAACUGUAUUAUUAUUAUUUUUAUUUCAACCAUUGAAAAGCAUUCUGUGCUUACAAAUCGCAAACUGUGAAAAAAGAAAACGUUUCUUCAUGUUUGAUCGAACCAACAAAUCCCAGCCCAAAAUAUUAAAAUUCAGCUCAGUUAAUUCCGUUUUAUUUGUAUACCAAAAAAAAAAAAAAAAAAAA